rnacentral:lncRNA from 1 species
CGGAAACAAAUUACUAAAUCAAAUAACAAAAUUAAUUUGAUUUUGUUAAGAAUUGAAUUCUAUUUGGAAUGAAUGUCUUUCUUGUAGAGAGUUUUACUUUGAGGCUAAGUCAUUUUUCCUCCUAGAAAUAAAGGGGUCUUAUCCCAUUGUAAAUCACCCCAAAAUUCAAUAAGAAUUUUCUCUCUCUCUUUCUUUGCAAUAUUGCUCUUGUUUUUUUAUUAUUUUAUAACAUGUUAUCAGCACUAGACUUUGCCGUCUCAAGAAGCUCUUUGAGAAGAUUAAGGUAAUUUUUCUCCUCUUUUUAAUUAUGACUGACAUUAUUAAAAGAACGUUCGUUGCCCUUGAAAUUUCGAGCAAUAACUAUAUGACAUAGGUGUUGGAUGCUGAAAUCCAUUUAGCUAUGCAAUGGGUCUUGGAGACGCAUUAAAGACGGAAAUAAAGCAUCCACCCAAGACUGUGCUAAGGGCUUGAUUUUCUUGCGUCAUCACCUUGAUAAAGGGUUAAAAAUUGAAUAUCUCACAGUCAAAGAUCCACUUAUUUUGUGGAAUGGCUUAAAAGAAAGAUAUGACAACUUAAAGUUGGUCACUCUGCCACAAGCAAGAUAUGACAACUUAAAGUUGGUUACUCUGCCAUAAACACGAUAUGAUUGGGCUCAUAUGAGGCUCCAAGACUUUAAGUCUGUUUGUGAAUAUAAUUCUGCGAUGUUCGGAAUUACUUCUAAAUUGAAGCUCUGUGGAGAUACUAUCACUGAUUAUGAUAUGCUUGAAAAAAUGUUUACAACGUUUCAUGCAUCCAAUAUGGUUGUGCAACUGCAGUAUAGAGAGAAGGUUUCAAGAAGUACUCUGAGUUGAUUUCUCUUCUCCUUGUGGCUGAGCGAAACAAUGACUUGCUCAUGAGAAAUCAUAAAAAUCGACCCACUGGGUCUACACCAUUCCCUGAAGUGGAUGAGGUGUAUUCCCAUUAUGCUAAGUGUAGAAAAGGUCAUGCCUCUAAUCGUGGUCGUGGUCGUGGUCAUGGCCGUGGCCGUGGACAAGGAAGAAAUUUUCCUGGUGUCAAU